AGUGAACGCUGGCGGUAGGCCUAACACAUGCAAGUCGAACGGCAGCACAGUAAGAGCUUGCUCUUACGGGUGUCGAGUGGCGGACGGGUGAGGAAUACAUCGGAAUCUACUUUGUCGUGGGGGAUAACGUAGGGAAACUUACGCUAAUACCGCAUACGACCUACGGGUGAAAGCAGGGGAUCUUCGGACCUUGCGCGAUUGAAUGAGCCGAUGUCGGAUUAGCUAGUUGGCGGGGUAAAGGCCCACCAAGGCGACGAUCCGUAGCUGGUCUGAGAGGAUGAUCAGCCACACUGGAACUGAGACACGGUCCAGACUCCUACGCGAGGCAGCAGUGGGGACUAUUGGACAAUGGGCGAAAGCCUGAUCCAGCCAUACCGCGUGGGUGAAGAAGGACUUCGGGUUGUAAAGCCCUUUUGUUGGGAAAGAAAAGCAGCAGGUUAAUACCCCGCUGUUCUGACGGUACCCAAAGAAUAAGCACCGGCUAACUCCGUG
rnacentral:rRNA from 1 species